UACGUAGGGUCCGAGCGUUUGUCCGGAAUUAUUGGGCGUAAAGGGCUCGUAGGCGGUUUGUCGCGUCGGGAGUGAAAACACGGGGCUUAACCCCGUGCCUGCUUCCGAUACGGGCAGACUAGAGGUAUGCAGGGGAGAACGGAAUUCCUGGUGUAGCGGUGAAAUGCGUAGAUAUCGUGAGGAAGACCAGUGGCGAAGGCGGAUCUCUGGAGAGUUCCUGACGCUGAGGCACGAAGGCCAGGGGAGCAAACGGG
rnacentral:rRNA from 1 species